rnacentral:rRNA from 1 species
CAGUAGCCGCGGGAAUACGGAGGGUGCAAGCGUUAAUCGGAAUUACUGGGCGUAAAGCGCACGCAGGCGGUCUGACAAGUCAGAUGUGAAAUCCCCGGGCUUAACCUGGGAACUGCAUUUGAAACUGUCAGGCUGGAGUCUUGUAGAGGGGGGUAGAAUUCCAGGUGUAGCGGUGAAAUGCGUAGAGAUCUGGAGGAAUACCGGUGGCGAAGGCGGCCCCCUGGACAAAGACUGACGCUCAGGUGCGAAAGCGUGGGGAGCAAACAGGAUUAGAUACCCCGGUAGUCCCUGUCUCUUAUAC